GAUGAACGCUGGCGGCGUGCCUAAUACAUGCAAGUCGAGCGAACAGACGAGGAGCUUGCUCCUCUGACGUUAGCGGCGGACGGGUGAGUAACACGUGUAUAACCUACCUAUAAGACUGGGAUAACUUCGGGAAACCGGAGCUAAUACCGGAUAAUAUAUUGAACCGCAUGGUUCAAUAGUGAAAUACGGUUUUGCUGGCACUUAUAGAUGGAUCCGCGCCGCAUUAGCUAGUUGUUAAGGUAACGGCUUACCAAGGCAACGAUGCGUAGCCGACCUGAGAGGGGGAUCGGCCACACUGGAACUGAGACACGGUCCAGACUCCUACGGGAGGCAGCAGUAGGGAAUCUGCCGCAAUGGGCGAAAGCCUGACGGAGCAACGCCGCGUGAGUGAUGAAGGUCUUCGGAUCGUAAAACUCUGUUAUUAGGGAAGAACAAAUGUGUAAGUAACUAUGCACGUCUUGACGGUACCUAAUCAGAAAGCCACGGCUAACUACGUG
rnacentral:rRNA from 1 species